rnacentral:rRNA from 1 species
UUGAUCCUGCCGGAGGCUACUGCUAUUGGAGUUCGAUUAAGCCAUGCGAGUCUGAGAGUCCUCGGGACUCGGCGUACCGCUCAGUAACACGUGGGUAACCUGCCCUAUGCUGGGGAAUAAACCUCGGGAAACUGAGAAUAAUGCCCCAUAGCCCACUACGCCUGGAACGGUGAGUGGGUCAAAGCUCCGGCGGCAUAGGAUGGGCCUGCGCCGUAUCAGGUUGUAGGGGGUGUAAAGUACCCUCUAGCCAUCAACGCGUACGGGUGUUGGGAGACAUUGCCCGGAGAUGGAUUCUGAGACACGAAUCCAGACCCUACGGGGUGCAGCAGGCGCGAAAACUUGGCAAUGCGAGAAAUCGUGACCAGUGAACUCCAAGUGCGUAGGGUAAGACCUACGCUUUUCUUGACUCUUCAAAGGUCUUGGAAUAAGGGGUGGGUAAGGACGGUGCCAGCCGCCGCGGUAAUACCGGCGCCUCAAGUGGUAGUCGCUUUUAUUGGGCCUAAAACGUCCGUAGCCGGUCUGGUGCAUUCGUGGGUAAAUCAACCCGCUCAACGGGUUGAAUUCUGCGAGCACGGCCAGACUUGGGACCGGGAGAGGUGUGGGGUACUCUCAGGGUAGGGGUAAAAUCCUGUCAUCCUGAGAGGACCACCUGUUGCGAAGGCGCCACACUAGAACGGAUCCGACGGUCGGGGACGAAACCUAGGGGCACGAACCGGAUUAGAUACCC